GAAGCCCACACACUUUUGGAGAUCAAAGGUGUGGACUCUGACACUGACAUCAUAGAAGAUGGCAAGCUUGAGGAAUUUGUAGAAGACCAUGCAACCACCUACGAAAAGGCAUAUGAAAAGGCUCAGAUCAACCAAACAAAAGCACAUGCCAAGGCAAAAAAGGCAUACGAAAAGAAAAAAUCCAAGGGGGUCAAAAGCUUUGCACUGCAUGUGGGCCAGCUUGUGCUGAAACGCCAGGCAGCCAACAUUGCACGCAAAGGUGGACAGUGUGAUCCACUGUGGACUGGCCCAUUUAGGUGAGUGACAUUUUUUGCUAAUCUAUGAAUGGCAUUUGAAUAUGUAAUUUUAGUUUUACUAAUCCAGUAAGAUGUGAUCCACUUUGGAGUGGGUAAGAGAAAUUUGUAGUUUAUAUAUGAAUGGCUUUUGAAUAUAAUGUUAUACUAAUUGACAACAACACACUAUUGCAAAUUUUGCCUCCACAACUUCCAUAAAACAUAGUUGACAGUUGACUACAUUUAAGCAUGGUACCUAUAUUAUGUGUGCUGUUAGAUUGCAUAUUUUUCCUGUUGUCUUUUAUGGGCAUGUUUCAGUUCAGUAGUGAUUGUGUUUCCUCAUGUACCUAUGUUGUGAUGUAUGCAUGUUUUAGUUGAUGCUUCUCUCAUGUAUGAACUUUUCCCCUCUUUCUAGUAGUG